AUCCGUAACAGCAAGAUUUCUUGGCGGUGAUGGACGAUCUGGAAAGGAACCCAGAGAGGAGAAUGAGAAGACAAUUCUUAGACACUGGACUUCGUUUUGAGCUAAGAAAGCAGGUCCCUUACCAUAUACUUCCACAUGAACAUUUCGGAACGCUGAGCCCAGGCGAUUGGAAGCAGUAAUGGUAAAUUACUUACAGAUUGGAUCACGUGCUGUUUUGGGAUCUGAAGGGGGACUGAACUUUCCAGGUCCAGCUGCAUUUUCGGCACAUACUCUGAAGACAUAGCCUCUCUGCGUUCCAGGACAUAAUGAAGGAUUGGGCUUCCACCAUCGUAUUCUGGAGGUUCCCAUGUUAAUUUACAGGAACUCUUGGUCACAUCACUUGCUUUAAUAUCUUUGCAUGGUCCAGGAAAGAAAUCAUCUGGAAGUAGCCAACUCAUGAAACCCUUUAUACUAACAGUGCAAAGUUAACUAAUUUUCCUAACACAUGAAGAAGAAAAUCUGGUAUUUCAUCAAAGAAUGAUUACCUAUGACUUUGACAUUGAUUGAGCCAGUUGCUGAGCCAAGCUUGUUUUCCAGCGUAAUGGUAUAAACUCCAGCAUCUGCAUGGACACUCUUGGGAACUUCAAGGUGUGCAGAGAUGUGAUCAUUCUUCAUUGUUAAUCUGUCACUUGCUUUGACUUCUUUGCCAUCUUUAUGCCAACUAAUGGUUGGAACCGGGACAGCUCUGAAGGGAACAGGAAUGCUUAACUUUUCACCUUCAAUAACCACAAUGUCGUGAGUCUCCAUAUCAAUUGUUGGCUUGCCUGUAAGAUAGCCAAAAGAGGAGAAAAAGAUAUGUCAAAGUGCAAUGUGUAAGCAAAGCCUGUUUUAUUAAUUAUAAAGGAAACUCUAUUCUUACAGUCUGGGUCUUUGGCAACCACAUUUUCGGAGAUUUCAGAUGGCUCACUGACACCAACAGCAUUGACGGCUCUCACUCUCAGAACGUACUCCUUGUCAGGAACAACACCUUCGUCAACUUUGAAUUUCAGGUCUUUUAUUGGGCGAGAAUUAACUCGCAUCCAUUUCUCAGUGCCUACCGGACACAUUUCAACAUGGUAUCCUAUAAUCGGACUUCCACCAUUUUUCUCUGGAGGCUUCCAGGCAAUGGCAAUGUGCUUUCGCCCAGCGUCAGUCACAUGCAAGUCAAGUGGAGGUGAAGGAGGACCUGAAAGAAGAGUGAAAAAUUCACAUCUGUGAUCUCAUCAUCAAGCUCUAGACAGUAUCCUUCGGAUAACUGAUACUACUUACUUUUUGGAUCUUCAAUUGCCAGGAUUUCUGUGGGUUCACUUGGGUGACCAACUCCAGCUUCAUUUUCUGCCCGAACUUGAAACUGGACCUCUGUUCCUUCAAUGACAUCAGUUACUCUGAAGUUACAGUCAGGUCCUGAGGUUUUUCCAGCUUUCACCCAACGGGUCCCUAACUUUUCUUUCUUCUCAAUGAUGUAUCUAUUGAAAUAAAGCAUUUCAUUAGCAUUAA